CACCGAGCUGGGCGGACCUCUCCCGCCCCCCCAGACACGCCCACACCGCCCGCCUCCCUCCCGCAUCCUCGCGAUUCCCUUCACUAGUUCCCGUGGUGCCUGACGAUGCCGCGUCACCCGGUAAACACGCCCUAUGUAGGAGCUGUCGCCACACGCAUGACUCGUGGUUCCCAACUGACCCAAGACCUGCUUGGUGGAUAAGUGGGUGUCCGGUGGAGUGGUGGACGCGCGUCGCCCGGUGUGGUGUGUGGCAGUGUAGCGUGUGGCUGGGCCCCGUGGCCAGGGUGGGCAGUUUAUGUGUGAGUGUUGGUAAGAGCGCUGUGGCGACUCACUCUACACCCAGGAAUACCUCUUCCUUCUACAAUCACCGCCCACACCACCACCCGCCGCCCACACCGUCCCACCCAUCAGCUGUACUCGUCACCUGGGUGUUUUACAGAUUCACCAGGAGGCGGCCAGGUCAAAGGUCACCACUGGAGGUCAAAGGUCACUACUGGAGGUCAAAGAUCAUCACUGGAGGUCAAGGUCACUGCUACAGGUCAAGGUCAAGGCGAGAAGUUAAGUCGCACUUCCGCCAGCCCCCACCACCAGGGCCCAGCCAAC